AUUAAUAAAGGUAGUACAUAUGCAUGGCAUUGGGUAGAGAGAAAGUAGAUCAAACAAUUAAAGAAUCAAGUGCUUAUGCCUAAGCUCAGGCCUCCUAUUUUGGUGGCCUGAUUCAGGGUAAUUGCAUGCGUGUGGGCUCAGGUCAGGCAAGGGAAAAAAGAGUCAGGUAAGCAACCAACCAAGACUCAGGCUUUACUCAGGUCAGACAAAUUUGUCUCAUGGUGGCAACCAAACAGCCUCUCAGCCUUAUUUCUUUUCUUUUUCUUUUGCAUGUAUAAAAUUCGUAAGACUUGACCCAUUUAGUUAUUUAUAUUAGUCUGUAAUUUUUAUCCCAAGUUUGCAUACCCAUAGCAUGACACCAUGCAAAAAAUUGUCAAUUAUUGAUAAAGUCUUAGUAUUAUUUCAUUUUUUCCUAUUAAACGGCUCU
rnacentral:lncRNA from 1 species